rnacentral:tRNA from 1 species
ACGACAGUAAUGCGUUUGUAGUCCAACGGUUAGGAUAAUUGCCUUCCAAGCAAUAGACCUGGGUUCGACUCCCGGCAAACGCAUA